rnacentral:lncRNA from 1 species
AAAAUUUUAAGUUUCUGUUUGGAUGAAUAAAUAUUUUCGUUCGGUAUAAUUUUUUAAUUCGAUUAAGAAAUUUGAAUGUUUAGACUAUAAGAAGUGUGGUCAAAUAUUUAGAAUAAUAUAUCAUACUCGAUCUUCAAAUUAUUUUAUCAGAAUAAGAUAAAUCACAAGUACAGUUACUAUACUUUUAUUAGUAUGAUCGCCCACAUAUUUAUAAGUCGUUUUCGAUGAUAGAGUUUCUGAAUCGACGGUCCAUACAGUUAAACAUUAUUUAGAGCAUUUAAAACUUCUAGAAAUUAAAUUUUAUAAUUUUUCGACAACAUUUACCUUACGAUCAAAAGCUCACAAAAUUGAUAAUUUUUAACGGCCAAUAUGAGAUACUUGCUAGUUUAACGGUGUAAAAAAAUUGGAAUAUGUUGAAUUUUUGAUAAAAAAUUCUAUUCACUAUCUAGAUAAAGGUCAAUAACUCCGAUCUUAAAUAGAAGGAUCCAAUCAUCCAUUUUUAAGACGUCGUUUGAUUUUGACCGUUCAUUUUAUGCCUGCUUGAUUGAUAGAUUUUAUUAUGAUUUCGAAAAAUUACGAAAUUUAUGUUUUAAAAGUUUCAAAUACUCUAUAUCAUAUUUAGCAUAGUGGAUUGUUGAUUCGAAAACUUCAUCAUCGAAAAUAAUUUAUGACUAUAAAAGGCUUUAUACUCAUAAGAGUAUAUAGUAACCCUACUCGAUAAAUUAAUUACAU